rnacentral:rRNA from 1 species
UAGAGUUUGAUCCUGGCUCAGGAUGAACGCUAGCUACAGGCUUAACACAUGCAAGUCGAGGGGCAGCGAUGAAGAAAGCUUGCUUUCUUCAGGCGGCGACCGGCGCACGGGUGAGUAACGCGUAUCGAACCUGCCUCAUACUCAGGAAUAGCCUUGCGAAAGUAAGAUUAAUGCCCGAUGUUAUUAGGAUAUCACAUGAUGUUUUAAUUAAAGAUUUAUCGGUAUGAGAUGGCGAUGCGUCCCAUUAGCUUGUUGGCGGGGUAACGGCCCACCAAGGCAUCGAUGGGUAGGGGUUCUGAGAGGAAGGUCCCCCACAUUGGAACUGAGACACGGUCCAAACUCCUACGGGAGGCAGCAGUGAGGAAUAUUGGUCAAUGGACGCAAGUCUGAACCAGCCAAGUAGCGUGCAGGAAGACGGCCCUCUGGGUUGUAAACUGCUUUUAGUUGGGAAUAAAGUGCAUCACGUGUGAUGUUUUGUAUGUACCAUCAGAAAAAGGACCGGCUAAUUCCGUGCCAGCAGCCGCGGUAAUACGGAAGGUCCAGGCGUUAUCCGGAUUUAUUGGGUUUAAAGGGAGCGCAGGCGGACCUUUAAGUCAGCUGUGAAAUACGGCGGCUCAACCGUCGAACUGCAGUUGAUACUGGAGGUCUUGAGUGCACACAGGGAUACUGGAAUUCAUGGUGUAGCGGUGAAAUGCUCAGAUAUCAUGAAGAACUCCGAUCGCGAAGGCAGGUAUCCGGGGUGCAACUGACGCUGAGGCUCGAAAGUGCGGGUAUCAAACAGGAUUAGAUACCCUGGUAGUCCGCACAGUAAACGAUGAAUACUCGCGAUUUGCGAUACACAGUAAGUCGCCAAGCGAAAGCGUUAAGUAUUCCACCUGGGGAGUACGCCGGCAACGGUGAAAC